rnacentral:rRNA from 1 species
CACGUAGUUAGCCGUGGCUUUCUAAUAAGGUACCGUCAAGGUACAGCCAGUUACUACUGUACUUGUUCUUCCCUUACAACAGAGUUUUACGAACCGAAAUCCUUCUUCACUCACGCGGCGUUGCUCCAUCAGACUUUCGUCCAUUGUGGAAGAUUCCCUACUGCUGCCUCCCGUAGGAGUCUGGGCCGUGUCUCAGUCCCAGUGUGGCCGAUCACUCUCUCAGGUCGGCUACGCAUCGUUGCCUUGGUGAGCCGUUACCUCACCAACUAGCUAAUGCGCCGCGGGCCCAUCCUAUAGCGACAGCCGAAACCGUCUUUUAGUAUUCCACUAUGAAGUGAAAUAGAUUAUUCGGUAUUAGCCCCGGUUUCCCGGAGUUACUCCCAAACUAUAAGGUAGGUUACCCACGUGUUACUCACCCGUCCGCCGCUAAAUCAAGAGAAGCAAGCUUCUCAAUCAUUCGCUCGACUUGCAUGUAUUAGGCACGCCGCCAGCGUUCGUCCUGACGCCAGGAUCAAACUCCUCG